CUUAAUAUUUUUAUUUUGGCAAGCAUAGAACUUUACUACUUACUAAAGAUGAAAUUUGAGAUCUUGUGCCCUCUUUGGGUGUGCAGAUAUAUCUGGUGUGCAGAUAUACAUGGAAGCAGAAUGUUGUAUACAUAAUAAAUAAAUAAAAUCUUUGGGCUGGAGAGAUGGCUCAGCCGUUAAAGGCUAGGCUCACAACCAAAACAAAGUUGUUUGUAAGAGCAGACUCAAUCUUAUUUAAUGCAUAUGUUUGCAUGCAGGGACACCAGAACAAGAUCUUAUGUGUCAGAGAAGCAGAAAUUCACGAAGAAAAGUGAUCUGCCAUCAAACCAACAUGCUCAGAUUUACCCAAACCCGAGCAGCAUCUCUGAAGUUUGUGAUCCUGUGCCUCCUCCCAGUGCCAUCUGGCUUUGAACCAGUGAUACUCUGUAUCUGGGUAGCUGACCUACACUCUAAGACAGGCACAUCCUGUACUACAUUUUGAGAUCCAGUCAUCUUCUAGGGACUGAUGCAAGUUGUGUGGCUCUAUGCUGAUUUGUGUCAAGUAAGAAGGAAGCAACUUGGAAGUCUGUGAAGAACAGGAUCAUCUCUUGAAGCAGGUAGAGUAGGGAAGAAAAAGGUAAAUGGAAUUAAGAGAUACUUAGAAUAAUAUUAGACAAAAACAAGUGGCCAGACCGUGGUGUCCAAACUUUUGACAGCUUGGCAUAAUAUUGCUAAUAUGCAAAUGUUGGCAACAUUCAGAACUGUGUUGGGAUGCAUGCAACCCAUGGGAUACAGAUUAGACAUG
rnacentral:lncRNA from 1 species